rnacentral:rRNA from 1 species
GACGAACGCUGGCGGCGUGCUUAACACAUGCAAGUCGAGCGGUAAGGCCCUUUCGGGGGUACACGAGCGGCGAACGGGUGAGUAACACGUGGGUGACCUGCCUUUAGCUCUGGGAUAAGCCUGGGAAACUGGGUCUAAUACCGGAUAUGACCCUAUGGCGCAUGUUGUGGGGUGGAAAGCCUUGUGCGGCUAGGGAUGGGCCCGCGGCCUAUCAGCUUGUUGGUGGGGUGAUGGCCUACCAAGGCGACGACGGGUAGCCGGCCUGAGAGGGCGACCGGCCACACUGGGACGUGAGACACGGCCCAGACUCCUACGGGAGGCAGCAGUGGGGAAUCUUGCGCAAUGGGCGAAAGCCUGACGCAGCGACG